AGACGGAGUUAUUAUUUUAGCUUUAUACUUUUAUAACGUAUAAGAAAAACGCGACGAGGAUUAUUGAGCCAUUCAAUAAUUUAUUAUCCAGUUUGAUAACUGACUUAGCAAAGUCAAGUUAUUAAUUUAUAUGCGAUAGAAAUAGUAUUUCUAUUAUUUACUUGAAGUCGUGAUUAAUUUUCGACUUAUAAAACGAAUUAUAAAAUAUGUAAUUCGUAGAGAGUUAUAACGAAGCGUCGUUAUUUAGUAGAACCCAAUAUUAGUUUUACAAAUACUUGUAACUUCAAUACUUUACAAAUCAUUAUUUUUCCACUCCCUAAUGUUUCCUACACUAUACACGCAUAAUCUCCACUUCUCCACUCCACCAACUAUCUCCAUCACCUUUUGCUUUCUUCCACUACAUUUUUUCUCACCACCCUUUCCACUCCACUAAUUCCACUACACCAAACUUUCCACCUACUCCCUUCCCCACCACACGCAAGAAUGCAUCUAACAUUCCAUUAUACAGGCAACAAUCUUUUCAUCAUCUUCAUUCUUCACUAAGGAACCGAAGAGCAGCCACGAGUUCUGCCAUAAGCACACUGCUCCGGCAGUGUUUUGCAAGGCGAUUCCAGCCAUCCAAAAGGUUCCCAAAAAUUCCCAAAUUAAUUGUGUAUCAUCUUUCAUAUGUUUUCUAUACUUUGGCAAAAUUUCAGAAGGUCCGGGCGACAGAAAGUGAAGCCGAAGAAGAAACGACUCCACGCCAGCUUUAAGAACAAUUGAGAAUGCCGCCUAAGAGAGGACGCCCUGCGAGAAACAAUAACAAUCGCAGAAACCGUAACGCUGUACCCGAAGAACCACAAGAUGCUCGAGGACAUAACCCAUCCCUCCGCCCCCAACUAGGAGAGUCGAAGAACUCUUUUUAAGGCAAAAUCCGCCUACGUUUGACGGAACGAGUGAACCAGCUGAAGCUGAGAUUUGGGUGCGUGCAAAUGAACGCAUCUUCAACUUUCUACAUUGUACUGAUGAGGAGCGCCUAUCUUGCGUCUCAUUCCAGCUAACAUGAUCAGCGGAUUUCUGGUGGGAAACACGACGAAAAAUUCUGACACCUGAACAAUGGGCAAGUUAUACUUGGGAAGAUUUUAAGACAGGAUUAUAUGAUAAAUAUAUUCCGAAAAGCUAUAGGAAGAAGAAAGAAGUUAAGUUCUACGAGUUGAAGCAAGGAAAGAAAUCUGUGGUUGAAUAAAACAAGGAAUUUCACCUUGCCCAAAUUGUGGUAAGAUGCAUAGGGGUGUCUGUCGUGCCGGGACUAACGGUUGUUACAAUUGUGGCCAAAAGGGUCACUACUCCACGCAAUGCCCCAACAAACAACGAGGUUCAACAAUUGAGAACAGCCACACCCCCUUGCCAGCAAUACGUGGACACUUGCGAAAUCAGUUUCAAUCACAUCAGUGAAAAUCUUAUGGAGGCACCGCAGAUAUAAAAAAAAAUUACGUGGGAGUUUGAAGACAAAAUGAAAGAGAAGUACCCGGAUUGUUUUAACAGAGAUAUGCAAAUUUCGGGACGAAAUUUUUGUUAAGAGGGGUAGUAUGUAGUAGCCCGCUCUUUUAUUUAUGAUAAAAACUAGUAAAUGCAAUUUUUAUAAAUGAAACCAGUUUAUGGUCCUGAUUUUUUUUUUAUCAGAGACGGAGUUAUUAUUUUAGCUUUAUACUUUUAUAACGUAUAAGAAAAACGCGACGAGGAUUAUUGAGCCAUUCAAUAAUUUAUUAUCCAGUUUGAUAACUGACUUAGCAAAGUCAAGUUAUUAAUUUAUAUGCGAUAGAAAUAGUAUUUCUAUUAUUUACUUGAAGUCGUGAUUAAUUUUCGACUUAUAAAACGAAUUAUAAAAUAUGUAAUUCGUAGAGAGUUAUAACGAAGCGUCGUUAUUUAGUAGAACCCAAUAUUAGUUUUACAAAUACUUGUAACUUCAAUACUUUACAAAUCAUUAUUUUUCCACUCCCUAAUGUUUCCUACACUAUACACGCAUAAUCUCCACUUCUCCACUCCACCAACUAUCUCCAUCACCUUUUGCUUUCUUCCACUACAUUUUUUCUCACCACCCUUUCCACUCCACUAAUUCCACUACACCAAACUUUCCACCUACUCCCUUCCCCACCACACGCAAGAAUGCAUCUAACAUUCCAUUAUACAGGCAACAAUCUUUUCAUCAUCUUCAUUCUUCACUAAGGAACCGAAGAGCAGCCACGAGUUCUGCCAUAAGCACACUGCUCCGGCAGUGUUUUGCAAGGCGAUUCCAGCCAUCCAAAAGGUCCGGGCGACAGAAAGUGAAGCCGAAGAAGAAACGACUCCACGCCAGCUUUAAGAACAAUUGAGGUUGAGUUGUGAUGGGCGAUGAAGUGUUGCUGAGUGGAGUUUUUGUUGAACUUAAAGUAGGCUCAGAAAGGAUACAUGUCUUCAUACAUGUAUCUCAGUUAUGCAUUCCGCUGUAAACACUGAUUAUUUCAGUUACACCUUCCGUUGCAAACUCUGAUAAUGUUUUAGCCAAGCCCCUAACGAUGCCUUUUUCCUUUUUAGGAAUAUAACGCUUAUACAAGUUCGUUGAGUACCCUUUUUAUGCGAA